UCCUGGUUAACCCAGGCAGUCUCAUUAGAGUUCCCACCUUCACGUGUUGGCAACUAAUGAUAAGGGUUGCGCUCGUUGCUGGACUUAACCAAACACCUCACGGCACGAGCUGACGACAGCCAUGCAGCACCUGUGCAAAGGCCCCGAAGGGAACAUCUAUUUCUAAAUGCGUCCUCUGCAUGUCAAGACUGGGUAAGGUUCUUCGCGUUGCAUCGAAUUAAACCACAUGCUCCACUGCUUGUGCGGGUCCCCGUCAAUUCUUUUGAGUUUCAGCCUUGCGACUGUACUCCCCAGGCGGUAUACUUAUCGCGUUCGCUACGGCACAACCAGGGUUGAUUCCGGUUACACCAAGUAUACAUCGUUUACGGCAAGGACUAC
rnacentral:misc_RNA from 1 species